rnacentral:rRNA from 1 species
AUUGAACGCUGGCGGCAGCCUUAACACAUGCAAGUCGAGCGGAGAUGAGGUGCUUGCACCUUAUCUUAGCGGCGGACGGGUGAGUAAUGCUUAGGAAUCUGCCUAUUAGUGGGGGACAACAUUCCGAAAGGAAUGAUAAUACCGCAUACGCCCUACGGGGGAAAGCAGGGGAUCUUCGGACCUUGCGCUAAUAGAUGAGCCGAAGUCGGAUUAGCGAGUUGGUGGGGUAAAGGCCUACCAAGGCGACGAACUGUAGCGGGUCUGAGAGGAUGAUCCGCCACACUGGGACUGAGACACGGCCCAGACUCCUACGGGAGGCAGCAGUGGGGAAUAUUGGACAAUGGGCGGAAGCCUGAUCCAGCCAUGCCGCGUGUGUGAAGAAGGCCUUUUGGUUGUAAAGCACUUUAAGCGAGGAGGAGGCUACCUGGAUUAAUACUCUAGGAUAGUGGACGUUACUCGCAGAAUAAGCACCGGCUAACUCUGUGCCAGCCGCCGCCGUAAAAC